UACAGAGGUCUCAAGCGUUGUUCGGAUUCAUUGGGCGUAAAGGGUGCGUAGGCGGCGCGGUAAGUCGGGUGUGAAAUUUCGAGGCUUAACUUCGAAACUGCAUUCGAUACUGCCGUGCUUGAGGACUGGAGAGGAGACUGGAAUUUACGGUGUAGCGGUGAAAUGCGCAGAUAUCGGGAGGAACACCUAUGGCGAAGGCAGCUCGCUGGGACGUUACUGACGCUGAGACGCGAAAGCGUGGGGAGCAAACAGG
rnacentral:rRNA from 1 species